rnacentral:rRNA from 1 species
GAGUUUGAUCUUGGCUCAGAGCGAACGCUGGCGGCAGGCCUAACACAUGCAAGUCGAGCGCCCCGCAAGGGGAGCGGCAGACGGGAGAGUAACACGUGGGAACGUGCCCUUCAGUACGGAACAACCAAGGGAAACUUUGGCUAAUACCGUAUACGUCCGAAAGGAGAAAGAUUUAUCGCUGAAGGAUCGGCCCGCGUCUGAUUAGCUAGUUGGUGGGGUAAUGGCCCACCAAGGCGACGAUCAGUAGCUGGUCUGAGAGGAUGAUCAGCCUCACUGGGACUGAGACACGGCCCAGACUCCUACGGGAGGCAGCAGUGGGGAAUAUUGGACAAUGGGCGCAAGCCUGAUCCAGCCAUGCCGCGUGGAUGAUGAAGGCCCUAGGGUUGUAAAGUCCUUUCGGCGGGGAAGAUAAUGACGGUACCCGCAGAAGAAGCCCCGGCUAACCUCGUGCCAGCCGCCGCUGU